GCAUAUCAAUAAGCGGAGGGAAAAGAAACCAACAGGGAUUGCCCCAGUAACGGCGAGUGAAGCGGCAACAGCUCAAAUUUGAAAUCUGGCCCCUAGGGUCCGAGUUGUAAUUUGUAGAGGAUGCUUUUGGUGAGGUGCCGCCCGAGUUCCCUGGAACGGGACGCCGCAGAGGGUGAGAGCCCCGUCUGGCUGGCCACCGAGCCUCUGUAAAGCUCCUUCGACGAGUCGAGUAGUUUGGGAAUGCUGCUCAAAAUGGGAGGUAUAUGUCUUCUAAAGCUAAAUAUUGGCCAGAGACCGAUAGCGCACAAGUAGAGUGAUCGAAAGAUGAAAAGCACCUUUGAAAAGAGGGUUAAACAGUACGUGAAAUUGUUGAAAGGGAAGCGCUUGUGACCAGACUUGGGCGCGGCGAAUCAUCCGGGGUUCUCUCCGGUGCACUUCGCCGCGUUCAGGCCAGCAUCAGUUCGGCGCGGGGGAAAAAGGCUUCGGGGAACGUGGCUGCUCCGGCAGUGUUAUAGCCCGUUGCAUAAUACCCUGCGCUGGACUGAGGACCGCGCAUCUGCAAGGAUGCUGGCGUAAUGGUCACCAGCGACCCGUCUUGAAACACGGACCAAGGAGUCGUCUUCGUAUGCGAGUGUUCGGGUGUCAAACCCCUACGCGUAAUGAAAGUGAACGCAGGUGAGAGCUUCGGCGCAUCAUCGACCGAUCCUGAUGUUCUCGGAUGGAUUUGAGUAAGAGCAUACGGGGCCGGACCCGAAAGAAGGUGAACUAUGCCUGUAUAGGGUGAAGCCAGAGGAAACUCUGGUGGAGGCUCGCAGCGGUUCUGACGUGCAAAUCGAUCGUCAAAUAUGGGCAUGGGGGCGAAAGACUAA
rnacentral:rRNA from 1 species